rnacentral:tRNA from 1 species
GGGCUUGUGGCGUAACGGUAGCGCGCUCGCAUGGCAUGUGAGAGGUUGCGGGUUCAAAUCCCGCCAAGUCCA